CAAACUACAAUGUGCACACUCAGCUGGACUAAGAUGAAGGUCUCAGGUGCUCACUCCUGGCUUCUCUUAUUGUUCCUGGUCCAAAGUGACAGAAGCCAGGUUUCAGGCCAGUGUUCAGUACCCACAGCACUCGUCUGCUGUCCUGGAAAGAAUAGCCAAUGCAUAAGUGGAGGGUGUUUUUGUGAUGAGUUCUGCAUCAUAAACAGGGACUGCUGUGCUGACUACAAUCAGACAUGCAUUCAGCCCUUAAUAUCAACCUCACCACCAUCUUCAUCCUCCCUACCUACAACCAACCAAUCACCAACAUCCUCACCAACCUCACAUCCAUCUUCAUCAAUCUUACCAACAUCCAACCGAUCAUCAUCACCAACCUCAGAACCACCUUCUUCUUCAUCCCCACCACCAACCUCUGCAUCCUUAUCAACAUCCCAGCAGAGAAAAAACAUCAGUGCAAUCACAGUCCUCCACAUGCGUGUUCACUCAGGAGCCAGUGAAGAGGCAAUGCUGAAGGCUGUGUGGGAUUUCAUUCUCCACCUCGAGGGCUUGAUGAGGAGACAGCAAUGUGAAGACUGCAGUCUACGAGUGCUAAACAUCAGCCAGAAAUAUCACUGAUAACAUCAAGUCAAAUAUAUGUUUUUCAGUAGUUAAUCAUUAUUACCUGACCUUCCUCCACGUGUUUGUUUGAGACUCCUGGUGGGUAAAUGGUGUCACUAGAUGGCGCUAGAGGACCAAACCUGUAAUGGAAAUCAGAGAGGAUUGUCUAAUCACUGUCUAACCUUAAUUUAAAUUUUAAUACAGAGCUGCAA
rnacentral:lncRNA from 1 species